rnacentral:tRNA from 1 species
CGAUUAGCUCAGUUGGUUAGAGCACCUGCCUUACAAGCAGGGGGUCACAGGUUCGAGUCCUAUAUCGUCC